rnacentral:lncRNA from 1 species
UUGGAAGGUUUGCUAUUUAGGGAUAAUACUUAAACUAUCCUAUUUUACGGCUCAUUUGCUAGAAAAUGCCUGUGAAGCAAACAGCUUUAUCAAACCUUAUCAAUGAGUAAAGGAUGUCAAAGGAGGGUGUUUCUGCUAUCUGGUGUUAAAUGUGGCUGCUGCUAAGUCUUCUAAUUUUUACUAACUUCUGUUAAUUAAACACUCUUCCAUGAGUGUUUGGUGAUAACAAGCUGCUAAAACACUCUUGAAAACCAGCACAGAGACCCACCACAGGGCCAGAGGAUUUCCAUCUCUUCCUGUUAAGGCUGCUUAUAGGCUGGGGUAAUUUAGGGUGGCUGCAGUGGGUGGGGGGAGGGAUGGAUGACCCCUCCUUGUGCCACCCUGUAGAGCUCUGAUCAACUCCAGGUGACUUAGUCCUAGCCACAGCUGAAGCAAUCCCAUUAAGAAAGCUCAGGUGCGGUAUCCUAUUUAACACUUAAUCUAAUUAUCAGGAUUUGGUUUCCCUUUCUAAAGAUCCCAGGUUAUAUAUUCCUUCUGGAUUCUCAUGGUGAAGCUCUUCUUUCUUCUGGAAGUAUGAAGGUACCUUUGCUCUUGUUCUUUCUCCUUGCUGAGCUUCAGGGCAGGAGAGCAGGGGUCUUUGGGACCAGCUGAAAUCCAGCACUGAUGUUGCAGUGGAUGCACCUGGGCUCUAAGAUGGCUGCUCCUGGAUCUCUUCAAGUCUCAUGGCCCUGCACCGCUCUUCAGGAAGCUCUUUGGUGUGAGCCAAAAUGUGGAGUUGCAGACCCAUCCAUCAGGACAAGCUGUUGGGUCUCCCCAGGAGCAGGGUCCCAUUGCAUGGAGAUGAAACCAUCUGUGUGUGGAUGCUGCUCAUCCUCUGCUGCUUUUGGGGUAAGCUGAGAGCUGGGCUUUCCAGGAGGAGGCUCCCCUAAGCGAUGAAUGAAGUGCUAGGGGCACAAACGCUUGUCAUGUAUUGUUGUUUAAAUAAAGCUUUGCCGGUGUGCGUGGAAGCA